CCAUCCAGAACGAGCUGAUCAGCCAUGCCGCGUGUGUGAAGAAGGUCUUCGGAUUGUAAAGCACUUUAAGUUGGGAGGAAGGGUUGUAGGCUAAUAUCCUGCAAUUUUGACGUUACCAACAGAAUAAGCACCGGCUAACUUCGUGCCAGCAGCCGCGGUAAUUA
rnacentral:rRNA from 1 species